rnacentral:tRNA from 1 species
AGCAGGACGGCAAGGUUUCGGGUGUUCGCCUCGCCGGCGGCGAGGUGAUUUCCGCCGAUGCCGUUCUGGUCGGCAUCGGGCUC